UUAGUGGCGAACGGGUGAGUAACGCGUGAGGAACCUGUCCUUUCAGGUGGGGGAACAACAGUUGGAAACGACUGCUAAUACCGCAUAACAUAUUCGAGCGGCAUCGCUUGAAUUAUCAAAGUCUUUAUGUGCUGAAAGAUGGCCUCGCGUCUGAUUAGCUAGUUGGUGGGGUAAUGGCCUACCAAGGCGACGAUCAGUAGCCGGCUUGAGAGAGUGACCGGCCACAUUGGGACUGAGACACGGCCCAAACUCCUACGGGAGGCAGCAGUGGGGAAUAUUGCACAAUGGGGGAAACCCUGAUGCAGCGACGCCGCGUGAAGGACGAAGGUCUUCGGAUCGUAAACUUUUGUCUUCAGGGACGAUAAUGACGGUACCUGAGGAGGAAGCCACGGCUAACUACGUG
rnacentral:rRNA from 1 species